rnacentral:rRNA from 1 species
CGAAUGCUGACAUAAGUAACGAUAAAGCGGGUGAAAAGCCCGCUCGCCGGAAGACCAAGGGUUCCUGUCCAACGUUAAUCGGGGCAGGGUGAGUCGACCCCUAAGGCGAGGCCGAAAGGCGUAGUCGAUGGGAAACAGGUUAAUAUUCCUGUACUUGGUGUUACUGCGAAGGGGGGACGGAGAAGGCUAUGUUGGCCGGGCGACGGUUGUCCCGGUUUAAGCGUGUAGGCUGGUUUUCCAGGCAAAUCCGGAAAAUCAAG